GACGAACGCUGGCGGCGUGCUUAACACAUGCAAGUCGAACGGAAAGGCCCUGCUUUUGUGGGGUGCUCGAUUGGCGAACGGGUGAGUAACACGUGAGUAACCUGCCCUUGACUUUGGGAUAACUUCACGAAACUGGGGCUAUUACCGGAUAGAAGCUCCUGCUGCAUGUUGGGGGUUGGAAAGUUUCGGCGGUUGGGGAUGGACUCGCGGCUUAUCAGCUUGUUUGUGUGGUAGUUGCUUACCAAGGCUUUGACGGGUAGCCGGCCUGGGAGGGUGACCGGCCACAUUGGGACUGAGAGACGCACCAGAAUCCUACGGGCGGCAGCAGUGGGGAAUAUUGCAGAAUGGGCGGGAGUCUGAUGAAGAAACGCCGCGUGCGGGAUGACGGGCUUCGGGUUGUAAACCGCUUUCGCAUGUGACGAAGAGUGAGUGACGGUAAUGGGUAAAGAAGCAACGGCUAACUACGUG
rnacentral:rRNA from 1 species